rnacentral:rRNA from 1 species
GACAUAUGGGGCGAGCGUUACUCGGAAUCACUAGGCGUAAAGCGCGUGUAGGUGAAUGCCUAAGUCUGUUGUGAAAUCUCCCGGCUCAACUGGGAGCGGUCAACGGAAACUGGGCGUCUUGAGUGAGGUAGGGGUCAUCGGAAUUCCUGGUGUAACGGUGAAAUGUUCAGAUAUCAGGAGGAACACCGACGGCGAAAGCAGAUGACUGGGCCUCCACUGACGCUGAGACGCGAAAGCUAGGGGAG